GAAUAUUGGCCAAUGGGUGAGAGCCUGAUCCAGCCAUCCCGCGUGCAGGAAGAAUGCCUUCUGGGUUGACAACUGCUUUUAUACAGGCAUAAACCACUUUCCGUGUAAGGUGCUGCAGGUACUGUAUUAAUAAGCAUCGGCUAACUCAGUUCCAGCAGCCGCGGUAAUACGGAGGAUCCGUGCUUUAUCCGGAUUUAUUGGGUUUAAAGGGUGCGCAGGCGGAAUAUUAAGUCGGCGGUGAAAGUUUGCAGCUUAACUGUAAAAUUGCCGUUGAUACUGGUAUUCUUGAGUGUAUAUGAAGUAGGCGUAAUUUGUAGUGUAGCGGUGAAAUGCAUAGAUAUUACAAGGAACUCCGAUUGCGAAGGCAGCUUACUAAAAUACAACUGACGCUUAGGAACGAAGGCGUGGGGAUCAAACA
rnacentral:rRNA from 1 species